CGGGGAUGACGUCAAGUCCUCAUGGCCCUUACAUCCCGGGCUACACACGUGCUACAAUGGCAGGUACAGAGGGCUGCGAAGCCGCGAGGUGGAAGCGAAUCCCAGAAAACCUUGUCUCAGUCCGGAUUGAAGUCUGCAACUCGACUUCAUGAAGGCGGAAUCGCUAGUAACCGCGAAUCAGCAGGUCGCGGUGAAUACGUUCCCGGGCCUU
rnacentral:rRNA from 1 species